AAAUUCUUGAGAUGUAUUAGGGUAGCAGUGAAAGUUAUCUCUGGUUUAGCUGAACAGAGAAGCUGCCCUCACUCACUGAGUUGGCACCAUUAAAUUUGCUACCAUUUGCUACCCUGUGGAGCAGAAAAAUAAAAUCGGUGUGAAGGUCAAUAAGAGCAGCCCUUUUUGUGUGAGGAACCAGCUGGGAUUGGAAGUACAUGAUUUGAGAUUUGACUGGACAACAUAAACUCUACUGGCCUGCUGCUGCUUUUGCUGGCUGCCCAGUUAUCAGAGAGGCAAGGGGGAGGUGAACAUCCAGGGGCAAUGCAGGGGAAGUGCUGGGUGAUGAGCAGGACAGCAAAGAUGUAGGUGAAACAUUAGCAGAAGGGGUGAUGUGUAAGGGAAAGGUUUUCUCUAGGGAGGCUCCUCCUCUGGAGUAAUGACCUUGUGCACGUCUGAGGGUUAGCUGAGAGGAACAGUGGGAGAGCAUGGAAGGAGGAGUGAUGGAUUGGAAAUGGUGAGAGGCAUGAGCCAGAUCCUGAUAUCAGAGCUGCUUUGGUAACUGCUGGAUUGUAAACACCUGCCCAGGGCCUGAUAGCUCCCACAGUGUGAGCUGUGGGUGGAUAAGGUGGGCCAUGAAGAAGGAGAGCUGGAGAAGCAACAAGAAGUUUAGGAACAUGA